GAUUUUCUGGUACAUUUUACCAGACGGCAGGCCUGGCUAGCAAUCUCAAACUUUGAAUAUGCAAAAAAAGAGAUCUCGUUUGCAUACAUACCUAAAACAAUCUAGGUGUCCCAGUUAAUUUACCUAUAUAUAUAUAUAUAUAGGGAAAAUCCAUCCUACCACCCGAUGGUAGUUACCCACAUGUCUCAUAUACUACCAUGUGGUACUAUAUAUUCUAUUCUAUUAUUUUAAAUAUGUUCAUAUACUAUAUCUAAACUAUUUCAAAGCAAGUUACAUGAAAAAAUUGCAUAUGAGCCCAUAGUUUUUGUUAUAUUUGUGAAAUACGUACAUAUUUGUACAUAAAAAAGAGCAUACUCAAAAAAUGGUACAUACUACCUAAAACUUAGUAUAUAUACUAUCUAAUCAUUGUUAUAUACUACAUACUACACGUACAUACUCUCGCUUUCGACAGAUACUACAUACAACAUACAAAACGCAAGUGGUGGUAACUACCACUGCUUGUAGGAAACAUUUGUCCUAUAUAUAUAUAUACUUGUGAACUAAAUUUCUUGUUAUUACAACUAACAACUAUUUCCACAGGUUCAGAACUAUUUAAUCCAUAAUGGUAGGCAAAUGCAUAAAUAUACUCCUGAAAGAGAAGUGGGUAGACAAAGUAUUGUUGACGAGAUUUAUGUUUUUCUGAAUAUCCUUCGAAUUUUUCCAUUUGUAUUUCUACUUGAAUCAGAGAGAAGAAGCAUUUCUCAGUUUAUCGAAUGAUGAUACAUAGUGCAAUAUGGUCAGAACAGGGUGUUGCAUUUUUAAUACAAACCCUGGAAAGAAAGGGAGUCUAAUCCACAGAUCUUUUUUUGCUCCUUUUCUACCCAAUUAGUUUAUGUUUGUUCUAAUUAAAAAAAGAACAUAACAAGUUUUUAUUUUUGCAGGCAAUCGCUCUUUUGACUUUGCAAUACAGCCUCUUUAUCAAUAUACUGCUUCUUUUACACAUUAAAUCCAUAACAUCCCUUAUUCAACCCAUAAUCAAGAAUAAUUAGGAUUUCUAAAAAAAGAAAAAAAAUAAAGGGUCCACUCAUAGGAAAACCCAACCUUUCCCCGCAUCCGGCACUAAUCUAUUUUUAACUUCUAAUUAGAGCGGGGAAUCAUUCCAAUUAGGAAGUUUAGCUCGUUGCUUUUUAUUUUACCAAAAUUGGAGCCAGGCUCUAUCCAUUUAUUCACUAGACCCAGAAAAUCGUAAUUUUGGAUUCCAUUCAAAAAAGAUUGAUUUUAUUACGACAUGCUAUUUCUUCCAUUCAUUACCUUUGAGGAUCAGUCGUGGUCUUCUAGACUCUACCAAGAGUCUGGACGAAUUUGUUGUUUCAUCCAAAUGUGUAAAAGAUCAUAGUCGCACUUAAAAGCCGAGUACUCUACCAUUGAGUUAGCAACCCAGAUAAAAAAGGAUCUUAGAUACGAUCGAAAUCCAAAAACCAAUGAAAUUACACCGCGCACUUCUGUCAAAACAUUGAACUAGCAAGACAUCAAAAGAUUUUUUUUAUCGACCAUGAAACACACUCAAAUGCCAAAACGAACAGGUCAGGUUAAAUUCCACUAAAGUAAAUUUAAAAAAAGAGCGACCCUAAUCACGAUGGCCGAAUUCUCCUUAUUUUUAGCGAUUUUUAUUAAAAAUAUAUAUAUAUUAUAUUGUAUGAGAAUACAUGCAAGAGGAACACCCUUAUCAUUUGAGCGAAGUGUAGGCAGAAAAAUUGAAUAUGGAGUGAGGAUAAAGAGACCCAUCUAUCUACAAAUUCUAUUUGUUCAAUAGACCUUUGUCAAUGGAAAUACAAU
rnacentral:lncRNA from 1 species